GAUCCUGGCUCAGAUUGAACGCUGGCGGCAGGCCUAACACAUGCAAGUCGAACGGUAACAGGAAGAAGCUUGCUUCUUUGCUGACGAGUGGCGGACGGGUGAGUAAUGUCUGGGAAACUGCCUGAUGGAGGGGGGAUAACUACUGGAAACGGUAGCUAAUACCGCAUAACGUCGCAAGACCAAAGAGGGGGGACCUUCGGGCCUCUUGCCAUCGGAUGUGCCCAGAUGGAAUUAGCUAGUAGGUGGGGUAACGG
rnacentral:rRNA from 1 species